rnacentral:rRNA from 1 species
AGACGGACUAGGAUCGUUAUGGAAGUAUUGUGUCUGUGGAAAAGCUACCUAGCUCGCAGUAAUGCGAAGCAUGUCAAACAUGGCACGUAAGAGACUAUACGCCAUGCUCCGAAUUUAUUCGGAUGAAGAUUUAGUCCUUCGUAGAGGAAUAGAAGAGCGCAAUUCCUUGUCAGGUAAGUUCUGACGCGUUGAAUAGUGUAAUGACUGGAGAACUGUCUCGGAGACUUGCUCGGUGAAAAUACAGUACCGGUGAAGAUGCCGGUUACCUGCAGUUAGACGAAAAGACCCUAGAAGCUUUACUGUAAUUUGAUAUUGACCAUACGUUUUUGAUGCGUAGCGUAGUUGGGAGAAUUUGAAGUGUACCUUUCGGGGUAUGUGGAUUCGUCGAUGAAACACCAAUCUUUAAAAAUGUAUGUUCUAACCUCGAGGGCACGACCCUUGGGAGACAGUAUCUGAUGGACAGUUUUAGUGGGGCGCUAUCCUCCUAAACAGUAACGGAGGAGCCUAUUAAGGUCAGCUAGCCGUGAAUGGAAACCAUGGCGAUAGUGUAUGGGCACAAGCUGGCUUGACUGCAAGACGUACGUGUCGAGCAGAUGCGAAAGCAGAGCCAAGUGAACCGACCGUUCGCAUUAGAUGCGGCGGAAGAUUAUCGGACAAAAGCUACUCUAGGGAUAACAGGCUAGUUCCGCCUAAGAGUUCAUAUCGACGGCGGAGUUCGGCACCUCGAUGUCGGCUCACCACAUCCUGGGGGUGGAGAAGCUCCCAAGGGUUUGGCUGUUCGCCAAUUAAAGUGGUACGCGAGCUGGGUUCAGACCGUUGAGCAUUUAAUUAUGCAAAAAUGGUUUACCAUCGUGAGUUAUCUUUGUGUGAGAUUAAAGCACUCACACAGUAGAAAACGAAGGGAUUAGACUGCGAAUUAAAAAUUCAACAGUCUGAAUCACUUUGAGGAUAUUUUCGUUUAAUAAAUAUAAGAAGUCAUUUAAGCUUCUUUAUAGAAACAGUUAGGAAGUAGAUCAAUCAACCACGGCGGUCGCAUACAGUAAUGUGUGAUGAUCAAGUCGAUUAGUAUCGGUGGAAUCCUUUGAUAAGAGGACUAUACCGAGGGAAGUUUCAGAGUAAUCUGUUACACCCGUAGAGACUAAACAUCGACGUUCCCAAUUCAAUGUGAAUGGAAUAAGCUAUAGUCCAAUGCACUAAGUAAUUAGUGGUAACAUGCGUGAGACAGGUUGGUCUCCUAUCUACUGCAGGCGUUGAUACUUGAGGGGCUUUGACUCUAGUACGAGAGGACCGAGUUGAACGAACCUCUGGUCUACCUGCUGUCGUGCCAACGGCACCGCAGGGUAGCUAAGUUCGGACUGGAUAACCGCUGAAAGCAUAUAAGCGGGAAGCCAACCCCAAGAUUAGGUAUCGUUGAGACCCGUAAGAGAUGAUUACGUUGAUAGGCUUUAGGUGUACGCACCGUAAGGUGUUGAGCCAAGAAGUACUAAUCCGUCGAUCUUACUAGGAAA